rnacentral:rRNA from 1 species
GAUGAACGCUGGCGGCGUGCCUAAUACAUGCAAGUCGAGCGAACGGACGAGAAGCUUGCUUCUCUGAUGUUAGCGGCGGACGGGCGAGUAACACGUGGAUAACCUACCUAUAAGACUGGGAUAACUUCGGGGAACCGGAGCUAAUACCGGAUAAUAUUUUGAACCGCAUGGUUCAAAAGUGAAAGACGGUCUUGCUGUCACUUAUAGAUGGAUCCGCGCUGCAUUAGCUAGUUGGUAAGGUAACGGCUUACCAAGGCAACGAUGCAUAGCCGACCUGAGAGGGUGAUCGGCCACACUGGAACUGAGACACGGUCCAGACUCCUACGGGAGGCAGCAGUCGGGAAUCUUCCGCAAUGGGCGAAAGCCUGACGGAGCAACGCCGCGUGAGUGAUGAAGGUCUUCGGAUCGUAAAACUCUGUUAUUAGGGAAGAACAUAUGUGUAAGUAACUGUGCACAUCUUGACGGUACCUAAUCAGAAAGCCACGGCUAACUACGUG